AGACAUGACAGGCAUUUCCGGCUGUUGCAUUUCAUGGGACAGCAAGUAGUGCAGAUAUAUAUGUCGCAGUAGAGACAGGUAGUAAGAGUAAAAUAACCAUUCCGCGUUUCAAAGGUACUUACAGAGAACAGUGCUAAGACAUACAGGCUUUGAAAAUGAAGUGAAGAAGAUGUAGAACCUGCUUUCUUCCUGGGACCAAAUGUAAGGAAUAUCAGUUAUUAUGACAUAUUGGAGCCAAUCCCAUGGUACUUUCAAGGGAACUCGUUUGCUGAUCACAGUAACAAUGACAUCCAGUAAACAGAAUGGUUCAGAAAUUCAAUUCAUGAUACGCCAAAGAAAAAUGACUAUUUCCUAAUGUUUGUCAAAAGACCACAGUAAUAAGUCUUCAGAUUUCUAAGCAAAUAUGACAUAAAUUCUGCAACAAUGGUGUCCUAAUGCUUUUACCAAAGAGGUAAGGCUACUAGUACCAUCUCUGUUACUUGUUGAUGUGAGCUCAUCGUUCACCUACAAAACAAGAUGGCGUCCUAUGAGAAUAUCUCCAGCAGAGGGCGUGGGUGGCUAAAUCGAAUCAAAUUAUGGAAACUUAUCAUAAUUCUGUCAAUCAUUUUGAUCACUGUUCCCUUGGUAGCACAUUAUUAUUUAUCCAGCAUCGGGGACGAAGGUCAACUGGGUCAAGGUCGAAGAUCAAGGUCUACCAUGAAUCACAAUGAAGAGCCCAAUUGCUGUGGGCAACCAUCGAGUUUAAGGUCACAAAUUGAGGAAUUGAAAAGAAUAAAGGCGAGCGUAAAUAAAGAGUUGGUUGAGAUGGAAAGUCGGCAGCAGAAGUUGAGGGUGGAAAUUCAAGGAUAUAAUACCCACAUCGAGAAAUUAAAAAAUCAGUAUGAAACGACAAACAAGGACCUGGAAAAACUGAAAGUUAGCAUUGAGCAAGCCAGGAUUGCUAUGGCCGAAGCUGCAGAGAGAAACAUGCCAGAAAUUCAUGCUCCACUGAGAAUAUUGCCCAGUGCUGAUGACGAGGUGUAUAUUUCGCCACCUUUUUUACCUCAUUCGUGCAGCAUGCACUCAUGUUUUGAUUACUCGCGUUGUGCGUUAUCAUCACAGUUCCCAGUAUAUUUCUACAAUCCUGACAACAAAGAUUUUCCAUCAAUAGAGUUGAACUCUUUAGUAAAGGAGGCUGUAAAAAGUGUCCUGGGUGGAACGCCAUACAGGACCCAUGAUGCAACUGCCGCCUGUGUGUUUAUAGUGCUUGUUGGAGAGUCCAACGUCCUCAACAACAAAGCUGCUUUUCAGGAACAGCUGUAUAAUCUACCCCAUUGGAAAGGCGAUGGUAGAAAUCACAUAUUACUCAACCUUGCUAUGACUAAUACUCAUCGAGACAUUUUUCAGGGUGUUAACACAGGGCGCGCCAUGCUGGCCCAGUCUUCUUUCACUGCUAACCAAUUUAGGCCAGGAUUUGAUAUCGUCCUCCCGCCAAAUUUUGGGAGAGUUUCUGGAGAUUUGUGGGACGAUUUGCAAAGUCUGGUGCCAUUGAGGAAGAAGUAUCUCUUGUCUUUCAUUGGAGAGUACACAAGGCGCGGGAGCAAUGGGACCUUAGCCAAUCAGAUUGGAGGAGACAAAUACAUUCAGAAUGGAGUGUUCUCCAAUCAAGGGGACUUAAACAGUGCCAGGAUUUUGACUGUAAAUCCAAAUAACCAUGACAGGCACAUACUCUCUGUUCAGGAGAUUACUAGCGAUGAUAUUUUUGUGGUCAGUACUUUGAAAAAAAUGUACAUGUCCACGCAAGACAGUUUCUUCUUUCAGUAUAGCUGUGAUAAAGAGGGAGUCCAAGAUGAACCCACAGUUUGGACUCUCUGUUCUCCAGAUUUGAAGAGACACGAGGUUCUUAAACAGUCAACAUUCAGUCUCAUAUUGGCACCAAGCAAUUUCAGUCUGGUGUCAACAAUUUCCAUUCAAACGAGGCUUUACGAGGCAUUGAAAUACGGCGCAGUGCCAGUCAUCGUGGGUGAGCACCUGCGGUUGCCGUUUGAGGAUAUUCUCGACUGGCGACAGGCAGCCAUUAUUGUUCCUUCAGCCAGAAUAACAGAGCUUCAUUUUUUCAUCAGAACGAUAUCCGAUCCAGACCUCUUCCAGCUGAGAUACACAGGUAGAUUAUAUUUCGAGCAGUAUAUGGGUUCCACAAAACACAUACUGAAUACAUUACUAGCAGUUUUAAGGUUUAGAUUGCAGAUUCCUCCAUUACCCACUAAAGCUGAACCAUCACCAAGUAUUUUCGAUAAUUCCACGGUGCCUUUAAAAAUGGAUGCUGCUGAUAUCGAACCAGAGAGUGAUGAGGUUCUAGGGCCAACGGAGCCGCCAUUUCCAUCACAGGAAUAUACUAGGAAUUUCACAAUAUCGCGUGAAGUUUUUCAUCACCCUGGUGAUCCUUUCCAUCUCUAUCCUCACACGCCAUUCCAACCUCUACUUGGCUCUGAAGCUAAAUUUCUGGGUUCAGGGCUGGGAUUCCGUCCAAUAGGGAAAGGUGCAGGGGGUUCUGGGAAGGAAUUUAACGAGGCACUGGGGGGAAAUUUGCCUCGAGAACAGUUUACCAUUGUGAUGCUCACAUACGAGAGAGAAUCAGUCCUCAUUAAUGCCAUACAGAGACUGAAAGGAUUACCAUUUCUCAAUAAAGUUGUGGUCGUUUGGAACAGUCCUGGAAGGCCAUCGCCAGACCUGCGCUGGCCUGAUAUAGGUGUGCCAGUACAUGUGGUGAAGACAUCCAAGAACAGUCUGAAUAAUCGCUUCCUGCCGUACGAUGUCAUUGAAACUGAGGCAGUUCUUUCCAUUGACGAUGACGCCCACCUGCGCCAUGAUGAAAUUGUGUUUGGAUUCAGGGUGUGGCGCGAGGCCAGAGAGAGGGUGGUAGGGUUCCCCGGGAGAUUCCACGCCUGGGACGUGGAGCACACGGGCUGGCAUUAUAACUCCAAUUACUCCUGUGAACUCUCCAUGGUCCUGACAGGGGCAGCAUUUAUACACAAGUAUUACCUGUAUUUGUACAGUUAUGUAAUGCCACAAGCAAUCAGGGAUAAAGUAGAUGAGUACCUUAACUGUGAAGAUAUUGCCAUGAAUUUUUUGGUCUCCCAUAUCACCAGACAGCCACCCAUUAAGGUGACCUCGAGGUGGACCUUCCGCUGCCCCGGCUGCCCUCAAGCACUCUCUGUGGACGACUCACAUUUCCAGGAGCGCCACAAAUGUAUCAAUUUCUUUGCCAAAGUCUACGGCUACAUGCCUUUGCUGUAUACGCAGUUCCGAGUGGACUCUGUCUUGUUCAAGACCAGAAUUUCUCAUGACAAACAAAAGUGUUUUAGAUUCAUAUAAUAAUGGACUGUGUACGAAUGUUGUGUUAUUACCAGUUAGAUGAUGGUUUCAUGUUAUUUCUUCACACAUUGUCUUGGCUCCAUGUUCUGUCAAAAGCAGGAUUAAUAUGAAUAUUCAUUAUCAUUAUAAUGAUUAUUAUUAUUAUUAUUAUUUAUAGAAUCAUGAUUUUCAGGCGUAUUUUGCAAUUAUCUAUUCCAAAUUAUGCUAAUAUACAUCCAUGUUAUUUCAAAGAUUCACUGUAAAAAUUGUGUUCAGAGUUUCUGCAAACCAACAAAAAGUGUCCUGUAUUCAUCUGACGGGGACGUGUACACAGAUUGUCCUUUCGUAAAAAAACAGGGACACAAUCACGUGUGGCUCUGAUAUUUAAGACAGGGACUGGACAUUGUUCUAGAGCAGAAGUUCAGAUUAUGAACUGUAAUUAUUUUAAUAUCAAAAAGAAAGAUUUGACUGAUUAUCCAGCUGUUUAAAACAAAUAUUAAAAUGGAAUUAUUAUCAAGUUUCGCACUGGAGCUUACGUUUUGAAAGGGAGGUAUGGUAAUGACUCAAUCUUUUAAGUGGGCAAAAAUUAUCAAACUUUCAGUUACAUCAUUUUAAAACCAUAAAAAUUAUAUUUUUAUAUAACAUUUGUAGUACUUUUAAUGCACAGAAUAGAGCUAUAAGGUAGUCUGCUUUUCAAUUUUGUUGCCACCACUCAGUAGGAUUGCUCUUAUUUUAAGAAAUUAAGAGUUAAAAAAAUACAGUACCUGUAAAAUUCACAAUUUCCCCAAUUGAAAAGAUCCAGUCAUUACCGUAACUAAGAUUUAGUCAAGGACUUCUUCAGCUGAACUAGAAACAGGCUAUCACGUGAAAAUAAUCUGCGUGGAAUUUCCCCAAAAAUAUGUUCUUAAAAAUUCAUUUUAAAUUAUUGAAAUAUGAUGACGUGAACAUAUUUGAAUAUUUCAUGAAAACGCAAUGCGGCGUGUAAAUUUUCAACAAGGUUCAUAGUAUAUUGAAAACUGUUUAUGUAUAGUCGAUACCUACGUUUUAGAAUCUUGUGGAGGGUUUUGAAUAAAUCACAGCUAAACCACCAACAGGAUUAUACAUAGUAUGGUUCCCAUUUUCGUGAACAUUUUUCAAAAUAACUGUUCACAGACGUUAUGUUUUUGUCUAUGUUUCACAGUGUUUAAUAUAUGUGGUACUUGAGCUUAUUUUUUCAUCUUCUAUAUAGCAUAGAAUGAGGAGGUAUGUAAUCAAAGUAAUUGACAAGAACUGUUCAGUCCAGACAUCUGAAACUAAAAAGACAAAGACAUCGACACUUUGUUCUUUUUACUCCAAACAGAAUUUCUGCAGUUCAAGACAAUUGUAAUUUUUGAUAACAAUAACAAUCAACGUUCACUCAUUGCGCGCAUUUUCCUCUGGUUUUUAUGGAGAACUUGAGAUUUUAUUUCGUCUGAUGAAUUUUUUAAAAAAAUUAAAAAUUACAAAAGUAGUCAUAAUUUGAUAGGGUGCAGUUAAAGUUUCAGUAUGACACUUUGCUGUGUGAAAUAUAUUUUAUUAUGUUUUGAGGUUCAUUGUGAACGGGGGACAUUAUAAAGCAAAUAAUAGUACAGAGAUAAUAGUAAUGGGCCUUAGCAUGACAUCAGUUUGACAAGGUGUGCCAUAUCCAAAACUGUUAACAAAGUACGAUCUGUACACAAUAUUUGAGUUCUAAGAUUGAAUUUGUAACAAUUUGUCGUUUUAAGGAUUUCUUUCACAGUGGUAAAUUUUGAAAUCGAAAUCUUAUCAACAUUGUUGGAUAGGAUAUGCCUCGUUGAUUCAUUGAAUAUUGUUGAAAGAAGGGCUUAUGGUUAACUAUAUAAAGGCCCUAACGGGCAUGGAAUAUG